rnacentral:ribozyme from 1 species
GCUGCUCGGAUGUGCUACCUCUCCGUGGUGGGCGGCAGGCAACGAGGAGGCUUCUCGGCUAAAGCAUAU